rnacentral:rRNA from 1 species
GACGAACCGUCCAAACGUUAUUCGGAAUCACUGGGCUUACAGAGUUCGUAGGCGGUCUGGAAAGUUGGGUGUGAAAUCCCUCGGCCUAACCGAGGAACUGCGCUUGAAACUACCAGACUCGAGGGAGAUAGAGGAAAGCGGAACUGAUGGUGGAGCGGUGAAAUGCGUUGAUAUCAUCAGGAACACCGGUGGCGAAGGCGGCUUUCUGGGUCUUACCUGACGCUGAGGCGCGAAAGCGUGGGGAGCAAACAGG